UUAAAGCACCGCGCAGAUAUUCAAAGACGGCCGAACGAGACGAAAAAAGCGCCCCUUAAAAGAAGUGCUACGGUGACUCACACCCCCCUUUCCCGGUUUUACGGGAAAUGGGAUGUGUUUUUAUUCAGUUUUUUCCCCCUUCUUCCAGGAGCAGGGUCAGGUGGCGGGUUAAUGUCUGUCUGUGUGAAUGUGUGUAGUCUGCCUCCGGGAGUACAGCUUUAAUUAUCGCCUGGAGUCUCGAGUGGGUUGAGAAAACCAGUCAGACAGAAAGACGUCCAACUGACCACCGUGGAACACUGAAACUCAGACAUAAACAGCGGUUGAGGAGGAGAGUCGCCGCGAAAAGAACUCUGCGGUCGGCAACACACCACCCGCUCGCCUGUUUCAGGUGUAAACAUGUGCCCCUCCUUCCCUGUCCUCGAGUGGCUGGCAUGCCGUGUGCCCAGGCUGAGCCCUGAGUGUUCUAGCCUCCCUCCCUCCACCCCCGAGGCUUUGGGAGUGGUUGGGCCCGGCAGGUCGUCGUGUACCUGUAACUUUGCCAAGGCAGUAAAUCUGAGACCUGGCAGGGAGGGGGAAAAGAGGAGGAGCAGUAGGAAGACAACAAUCGCACGGUGGGACCAACAGACAGAACCAGACAGACAGGUCGUCCAUGUAGACAGGAAGUCCUUCCCGGACGAGGGUGUGUACAAGACGGGGAGUGCCCCAGACGUGGGCACACACACA